rnacentral:rRNA from 1 species
UAUUGGUCAAUGGACGCAAGUCUGAACCAGCCAUGCCGCGUGCAGGAUGACGGUCCUAUGGAUUGUAAACUGCUUUUAUAUGGGAAGAAACCCCUUUUCGUGAAGAGGGCUGACGGUACCAUAAGAAUAAGGAUCGGCUAACUCCGUGCCAGCAGCCGCGGUAAUACGGAGGAUCCAAGCGUUAUCCGGAAUCAUUGGGUUUAAAGGGUCCGUAGGCGGCCUUGUAAGUCAGUGGUGAAAUCUCCCGGCUCAACCGGGAAAUUGCCAUUGAUACUGCAGGGCUUGAAUGAUUGGGAAGUAACUAGAAUAUGUAGUGUAGCGGUGAAAUGCUUAGAGAUUACAUGGAAUACCAAUUGCGAAGGCAGGUUACUAUCAAUUUAUUGACGCUGAUGGACGAAAGCGUGGGGAGCGAACAGG